rnacentral:rRNA from 1 species
CGCAUCUGUGCAUGCAGCAUAUCAAUAAGCGGAGGAAAAGAAACUAACAAGGAUUCCCUCAGUAACGGCGAGUGAAGCGGGAAGAGCUCAAAUUUGAAAUCUUGAAAGGUCACCUUUCACGAAUUGUAGUUUAAAGAAGUGUUUUCUGUUACGAUCGUAAUAUAAGUUCUUUGGAAUAGGACAUCACAGAGGGUGAGAAUCCCGUCUAUGAUUGCGAUUUGUAGCUUUGUGAUACACUUUCAAAGAGUCGGGUUGUUUGGGAAUGCAGCCCAAAACGGGAGGUAAAUUUCUUCUAAGGCUAAAUAUUGGCGAGAGACCGAUAGCGAACAAGUACCGUGAGGGAAAGAUGAAAAGAACUUUGAAAAGAGAGUUAAAUAGUACGUGAAAUUGUCAAAAGGGAAGCGUUUGACACCAGUGUUGUUUUUCUGAAAAUCAACCUCUGUUAGCUUUAUGCAUGUUUGUUUAGACCUAAUCAGCUAUCUUGCAUGUUCUAUUGUUUGCAGUGGUGCACUUUUCAGUUUACAGGUCAACAUCAGUUUUUUUUACCGUAAAAAAGUUAAAGAAAGGUAGCUCAUGGCUCCGGUCGUGAGUGUUAUAGUCUUUUUCCUAUGCGGUAGGAGAGACUGAGGUCUGCAGUGUAGGCUAUUUGGCUAGAUACUCAGGUGCUAUGUGAUACCAUUUCAUAAACAACUUGUUGAUUAUGUUUUGUCUAUUGCAUACUCGCUUGUACUAUCAUACCUACGCUUAGGAUGUUGAAGUCAUCGUAUCGCGC